rnacentral:lncRNA from 1 species
CCCUGCCCCUGUGGAACUCAUGCUCUGGAAGAGAAGCCAGACAGUAAACAGGCAACAGGUGAAGGAGACGGCGAGUCCGUUUAGAUGGUGUGGCCAGGGCUGGCUGCUGAGUUGGCACGUGAGCAAGGACCCCUGGGCCCGGCCUGGAGCCACUUGGAGGGGUGCCUCUCCUUGCUCUGUCUGUGCAUCUUUUGAUACGGGCUGUCCCUACUCCAGCCUGGCCCCCACCUCUGCCUUCACAUUCCUGACCCUUAUUGACCCACGGGAUCACCCUGCACAAGAUGGGCUGUCUUUGGGGAGUUGGCCUUUAGAACAGAAUUAAUCACACCAAAUGUUUUUUUUCAGUGUUCCAGGAAAAAAAAAAUGAAUAUGUGCCACUGUAGAGUUGCCAGAGUUUAAUGGAGAACAUGGGGCAGGGAGGAGGGAGGAGCUGCUGCCAGGGUCUGCGUCAAGGUCACUGCCACCCUGGGCAGUGGAGAGAGGAGACUCCUCACCUCAGGCUCACCUCUGCUGCUUCUUCCUGUUCAGGUCUCGAUGCAAAUGUCACUUCCUGGACCCGACCACCAAGUUUCCUUCCUGGACCUUGUCAGCACCUGAAAUUGUCUGAAGUCUUUUCGGGGUUGUGGUUCAUUUUCUUGUUUAGAAUGAAAAAGCCAAAAGGGCAGGAAAUUUGUUCCCCGAGAACCUAGGAGAGUAGUUGGCACAGAGUAUGUGAUCCUCCCCUCAGCACUUCACUUGCAGCAAUUUCAGUUAGCUGGGCUCACCCAUAGCCAAAAACAUUGAGUGGACAUUUUCGGAAAUAAAAACUUCAUAAGCUUUGGAUUUCACGCCGUUCUGAAAAGUGUGAUGGAAUCUGUGCUGUCUGACUGCAUCCCUCCUGGAACGUGAAUGGUGCAUGCCCUUGUCCAGUGUGUCCAGGGUGUAUACACCACCCACCUGUUAGUUACUUAGUAACCACCUCGGUCAUCACACAUCAUCACAUCAUCUCAAUGUUCUUGUUCAAGUGAGCCUUAUUUUACUUACUAAUGGUCCCAAAGCACAGGAGUAAUGAUGCUGGCAAUUCAGAUAUGACAAGAAGCUGUAAAGUGCUUCCUGUAAGUGGAAAUGUGAAAGUUCUUGGCUUAAUAAGGACAGGAAAAAUCACAUGCUUAGCUUGCUGAGAUCCACAGUUAAGAAUGAAUCUCCUGUCUAUGGAAUUGUGAAGAAGGAAAAAGGAAUUCAUGCUAGUUUUGCUGUCGCCCUUCA